rnacentral:rRNA from 1 species
UGGGAGCACGCUUAGGCGUGUGACUGCGUACCUUUUGUAUAAUGGGUCAGCGACUUAUAUUCUGUAGCAAGGUUAACCGAAUAGGGGAGCCGAAGGGAAACCGAGUCUUAACUGGGCGUUAAGUUGCAGGGUAUAGACCCGAAACCCGGUGAUCUAGCCAUGGGCAGGUUGAAGGUUGGGUAACACUAACUGGAGGACCGAACCGACUAAUGUUGAAAAAUUAGCGGAUGACUUGUGGCUGGGGGUGAAAGGCCAAUCAAACCGGGAGAUAGCUGGUUCUCCCCGAAAGCUAUUUAGGUAGCGCCUCGUGAAUUCAUCUCCGGGGGUAGAGCACUGUUUCGGCAAGGGGGUCAUCCCGACUUACCAACCCGAUGCAAACUGCGAAUACCGGAGAAUGUUAUCACGGGAGACACACGGCGGGUGCUAACGUCCGUCGUGAAGAGGGAAACAACCCAGACCGCCAGCUAAGGUCCCAAAGUCAUGGUUAAGUGGGAAACGAUGUGGGAAGGCCCAGACAGCCAGGAUGUUGGCUUAGAAGCAGCCAUCAUUUAAAGAAAGCGUAAUAGCUCACUGGUCGAGUCGGCCUGCGCGGAAGAUGUAACGGGGCUAAACCAUGCACCGAAGCUGCGGCAGCGACGCUGAUGCGUUGUUGGGUAGGGGAGCGUUCUGUAAGCCUGCGAAGGUGUGCUGUGAGGCAUGCUGGAGGUAUCAGAAGUGCGAAUGCUGACAUAAGUAACGAUAAAGCGGGUGAAAAGCCCGCUCGCCGGAAGACCAAGGGUUCCUGUCCAACGUUAAUCGGGGCAGGGUGAGUCGACCCCUAAGGCGAGGCCGAAAGGCGUAGUCGAUGGGAAACAGGUUAAUAUUCCUGUACUUGGUGUUACUGCGAAGGGGGGACGGAGAAGGCUAUGUUGGCCGGGCGACGGUUGUCCCGGUUUAAGCGUGUAGGCUGGUUUUCCAGGCAAAUCCGGAAAAUCAAGGCUGAGGCGUGAUGACGAGGCACUACGGUGCUGAAGCAACAAAUGCCCUGCUUCCAGGAAAAGCCUCUAAGCAUCAGGUAACAUCAAAUCGUACCCCAAACCGACACAGGUGGUCAGGUAGAGAAUACCAAGGCGCUUGAGAGAACUCGGGUGAAGGAACUAGGCAAAAUGGUGCCGUAACUUCGGGAGAAGGCACGCUGAUAUGUAGGUGAAG